CAAGGCGACGAUCCCUAGCUGGUCUGAGAGGAUGACCAGCCACACUGGAACUGAGACACGGUCCAGACUCCUACGGGAGGCAGCAGUGGGGAAUAUUGCACAAUGGGCGCAAGCCUGAUGCAGCCAUGCCGCGUGUAUGAAGAAGGCCUUCGGGUUGUAAAGUACUUUCAGCGGGGAGGAAGGGGAUAAGGCUAAUAACCUUGUUCAUUGACGUUACCCGCAGAAGAAGCACCGGCUAACUCCGUGCCAGCAGCCGCGGUAAUACGGAGGGUGCAAGCGUUAAUCGGAAUUACUGGGCGUAAAGCGCACGCAGGCGGUCUGUCAAGUCGGAUGUGAAAUCCCCGGGCUCAACCUGGGAAC
rnacentral:rRNA from 2 species